rnacentral:rRNA from 1 species
AUGGCGCGGUCGAGCGCGGACGACAUGGAGCUGAAGCGCGCGUGCGAGGCGGGCAUCCUGAGCAAGGAGAAGGCCCCCGAGAAGGUGGUGAUGUGCAUGCGCGUGGCCAAGGGCCGCACCAGCGGCGGCACCUGGGCCGGGAAGGCCGGCAAGCUCGCCUCCCGGCACAGCAACAUGGCCAAGCCCCGCGUCCUCGCCGUCACCACCAAGCCGAAAGGGCAGAAGACCAAGGCGUUCCUGCGAGUCCUCAAGUACUCCAAUGGCGGAAUCCUCGAGCCGGCGAAGGUGUACAAGAUCAAGCAUCUCCACAAGGUGGAGGUCGCCACCAACGAUCCCAGCGGAUGCACCUUCAUAUUGGGGUUUGAUAACCUGAGGAGCCAGAGUGUUUCGCCUCCUCAGUGGACGAUGCGCAACAAGGACGACAGGAACCGUCUGCUGAUGUGCGUUCUCAACCUGUGCAAAGAGCUGCUGGGUGGCAUCCCCAAAGUUUCUGGCAUGGACAUCGUCGAGAUGGCUAUCUGGGCCAAGGAGAACACUACAACAAAGGCUACGCAGGUGUCCACGAAUGAUAGCCCCUUUGAUUCACUGGUGCUAGAGGCUGACUCUCAAGUUGCCCUAGAGAAGGACCUGGUUUCACAAGCGGAGGAAGAGGACAUUGAGGCUCUCCUUGGCAACUAUGUCAUGGCCAUUGGUGAAGCAGAGGCAUUUUCAGAAAGGAUGAAGCGUGAACUUGUAGCUCUCGAAUCUGCAAAUGUGUAUGCCCUUGUGGAAACAGAAUCUGUUGUGGAUGAGGUAUUGCAGGGCUUAGAAGUAGCUACCAUAUGUGUUGAAGAUAUGGAUGAGUGGCUUGGCAUUUUCAACAUCAAGCUCAGGCAUAUGAGGGAGGAUAUACAAUCUAUAGAAUGGCGUAAUAACAGGUUGGAAAUGCAAUCUGUAAGUAAUGUGGCAUUAGGUGAGGAGCUAGACAGAUUGCUUGUACUCUUGCAGAUUCCACCUGAGUAUGAGGUGUCAUUGACUGGAGGUUCAUUCGACGAGGGAAAUAUGGUCAAGAAUAUAGAAGCCUGUGAAUGGUUAACCAGUGCUAUAAAGAACCUAGAAGCGUCCAACAUGGAUCCAAGCUAUGCAAAAAUGCGUGCUGUUAGAGAAAAACGUGCAGAAUUUGUACUUCUAAAGUGCACAUUCGUUCGGAGAGCGUCAGAAUUUUUAAGGAAUUACUUUCCAACUUUGAUUGAUUCCAUGCUAAAUGAUAAAGACAACUUCACUCAGAAAGGGCAAUUGCAGAGGCCUGACCAUGCUGACAUGAGGUACAAAUGCAGGACUUAUGCUCGUCUUCUACAGUUCAUCAAGAGUCUGGACAAAAGUUGUAUGAUUCCUUUACGGAAAGCUUACUGCCAUUCUCUGAACUUGCUAAUUCGACGGGAGGCCCGUGAAUAUUCUAAUGAGCUCCGAAAUAGUUCAAAAGCAUCAAAGAGCAGCGCACCAUCGUUUGAAGGUCCUGCAGGUGCAAAUCAGCCAGCUGGUAUUGCAGAUAGUCCUGCAGAAGCGUACUCCAAAAUGAUUACUGCCUUUAUUCCUCAUCUUGUUGACGAGAGCUUGUUCUUGGCACAUUUUAUGUGCUUCGAAGUUCCUACAUCGGGUGGUUCAGAUAGUGAUGAAGAUAGUACUCCGAAAACUUCUGGGUCCUCUGGGAGUAGUGCCAAACCAAGUAACAACAGUUCAGCCGAUUUGGGAGUGCUAAACGAAUGCUUACAGGAGAUGCUCGAUGGUAUUCAGGAGGACUUCUAUGCUAUAGUUGACUGGGCAUUCAAGCUAGAUCCACUGAGUUGUAUACCAAUGCACGGCAUAACAGAUCGUUAUAUUGCUGGUCAGAAGACAGAGGUUGCAGGAUACGUUUCGGUGCUGCUUGAUGACUUGGAGUCAAGAAUAACCAUUUUGUUUAGCAGGUUCGUUGAUGAUGCCUGUUUCCAGAUCGAAAAGUAUGAGCGUAAUGUAAAACAAGUUGGAGUUGUACCAUAUAUUCCCAGGUUUUCUCAACUUGCAGCACGAAUGGAGCAGUAUAUCAAUGGAUCCAGGGAUCUAGUUGAUCAGGCAUAUACGAAAAUUGUGACCAUUAUGUUUGUGACUCUGGAGAAAAUUGCUCAAGUGGAGCCCAAAUAUGUUGAUAUUGUACUCUUGGAGAAUUAUGCAGCCUUCCAGCACAGUCUAUAUGAUUUAGCGAAUGUUGUGCCAACACUUGCUAAAUAUUAUCAUCAAGCCAGUGAAGCUUAUGAACAAGCUUGCUCGCGCCAUAUUAAUCUUGUCAUAUAUAUUCACUUCGAAAAAUUAUUCCAAUUUGCUCGGAAAAUCGAGGAAUUGAUGUACAACAUGAGCCCUGAGGAGAUAGCCUUCCAAGUUGGAAUGUCGAAGGUAGACUUCCGCAAGAUGCUGAAGUCCAGCUUAACUGGUCUGGACAAAACAAUCACUGCAAUGUACAGGAAACUACAGAAAAAUAUGACUGCAGAAGAGUUGCUACCUUCUCUAUGGGAAAAAUGCAAGAAGGAGUUUCUCGAUAAAUAUACAACCUUCCUCAAACUGAUUGCCAAAAUAUAUCCCAACGAAACGGUGACAUCUGUGAAUGAGAUGAGAGACAUCCUAGCUAAUCUGUAG